rnacentral:rRNA from 1 species
AUGAGGGGUGUAAUCAAAUUCCUAGUCAAUAUGUGUUGCAUAGGUGGACUAAAAUGGUUGCAUAGGUGGACUAAAAUGGUUGCACGUCAGCUUCCGUAUGACGCCAAUGGGCAUGAGCUAGAAAGCCCAUCUACAUGUCUUUCACCUACCAUAAAAAAGUUGUACUCGGAAACAUGUUCAAAAUUUAGCUUGGCUCUUCAUGUAGCGAAACAUUGUGAGGACAAAAUGAGAUGUUUUCACAAGGUUCUUGCUGAUGCCUUCACGCAAUUGGGACAGAAGGGUGCCAUUAGUGAGCAAAGUAAAGUUCAAGAAUUUGAAUCCUUUGUUGGAACAUCAUUCCCAAGUGUGAUCGAUAUUCAUCCACCAGAUGUAGCGAACACAAAAGAGAGCGGUAAGAAAUUGAAAAGGGGUUCAGAACAGACUGUGAACCAAAAGAAAAAGAGGGCAAAUAACAUCCAAAAGGUCCUAGAUAAGUAG